CAGAAAUUAGUUUAAAUAAAACAUUAGUUUUGGAUACUAAAAUUUAACUAUUAUAUUACAGA
rnacentral:tRNA from 1 species